AUUGAACGCUGGCGGCAGGCUUAACACAUGCAAGUCGAGCGAGCGGCGGACGGGUGAGUAAUGUCUGGGAAACUGCCUGAUGGAGGGGGAUAACUACUGGAAACGGUAGCUAAUACCGCAUACCAUCAGAUGUGCCCAGAUGGGAUUAGCUAGUAGGUGGGGUAAUGGCUCACCUCGGCGACGAUCCCUAGCUGGUCUGAGAGGAGGACCAGCCAACCUGGAACGAGAACACGGUCCAAACUCCUACGGGAGGCAGCAGUGGGGAAUAUUGCACAAUGGCCGCAAGCCUGAUGCAGCCAGCCCGCGUGUGUGAAGAAGGCCUUCGGUUUGUAAAGCACUUUCAGCGAGGAGGCGUUACUCGCAGAAGAAGCACCGGCUAACUCCGUGCCAGCAGCCGCGGUAAUUC
rnacentral:rRNA from 1 species